rnacentral:tRNA from 1 species
AUACUAGGGCUGCAUUAGCAGGUUACUCUGAUAUAGUAAAUUGUGGAUAUUAUCUCGGUAUU